UACGUAGGGAGCAAGCGUUGUUCGGAUUUACUGGGCGUAAAGGGCGCGUAGGCGGCGCGACAAGUCACUUGUGAAAUCUCCGGGCUUAACUCGGAACGGUCAAGUGAAACUGUCAUGCUAGAGUGCAGGAGGGGCAAUCGGAAUUCUUGGUGUAGCGGUGAAAUGCGUAGAUAUCAAGAGGAACACCUGAGGUGAAGGCGGGUUGCUGGGCUGACACUGACGCUGAGGCGCGAAAGCGAGGGGAGCAAACGGG
rnacentral:rRNA from 1 species